ACCAGGACAUAGAAUGAAAACAUCUCCACUAUCCCCACUUCUUCCAAGAAAAUCCAGCAGGUCUGAAUUCUCCUUAUCUCCAAGGAGUGCCUGGACAUCAGCAUCAGAUCAAUUUGGAAUUUCAUGCAAAUAAAACACACCAACUUAAUGGGAUGUGAAAGAGUUGGCUUCAAAAUAAAUCCUUGUUGAAAGGCACUGGAAUUACAUUUGAAAUGGAAGUGAAACAAAGUUGAAUUUUAUGGCACUGGCUUACAGGCUCUGUCUUGCACUGUUUACAGAUUGACCCAAAUAAAGUGAAGAAGACCAGAAUCAGGACCCAUCCUGGCAUAUACCUUUCACCUGAUAACAUCUGUUGGUUCCUAUGUAUUUAAUAUAUGUAUUUUCAUGUUUAUUUCUUUAUUUUUAUUAACUUUUCCAAUAAGAUUUCUCCCCCAAAAUACUAAUGUCAAUUAACAUUUAAAUAUAGAACUGUAAGUUUAAAUAUAGAACUGUGUUGGGCUAGACACAAUAUGAUUUCCUAAUUAUUACCAACCUGUUUCAUUUAAUUUGUAGAAUCCCUUGCAGUUUUUAAAUAACUCUCUACAAUCUCAUUUCUUCCUGUUAUCAAUCCAGUACUGAUAAAGUAGUAUCCCUAAACUAUAGUUGAAAACAUUGUAAUUCAGAAAAGUGAAGAGACUCAUCCAAUGCAUAUAUUUGAAAGCAACAUAGCUGAUUUCAGGGUUUUCUAGAUCUUAUUUCCUGGCUGGCUUGGUGUAGGUGGUAGUAAAUAACAUAUGUGGUUUUGGUACUGCAGAUUUUAAUCUAUGGUGAUCCACAUUCUGUUCCAGAGACACCAUGCAUUACUAUGGUCUCCAGGCUGUUGGCGAUCAUAACACUAGGGGGCACCAUUUUGACUUCCUUCUUACAUUAGCCUUUAGGGCCUUCAUAUUUUCGUAUUGAAGGUUGAUGAUGAAAUCAUGGGGAAUUUUAUUUCAUCUUGUUCAGACAAGAUUUUUGCAAGAGGCUUUACUUAUGAAAGGGAGAUGAUGCUUUCUUUCCACUAGUGAAGAUGUGUAGAAAAUUAAUUCCUACAGAGUUCUAAUUCCUAUGACUAAUAUCAAGAAAUGAGUAUUGUAGAGUAGGACACAUUCUUAGGGACUGUCAUGCUCAUUUAACUCUUAAACAGCUGGAUUCCUUUCUCUUUUUCUCCUCACCCUUACAGGGAUAUGGGCAGAGGGCCCCUUGUGUGACUUUAGAAGGAGGUUUUGAGGGUAAGAGAAGGAUUUCUCUGUCAUCAAAGAUAGCUACUCUGGUAUUGUGGCUUAGCCGCAGCAACUAUGCAGAACCAAACCAUUAGCACCCAGCUCUCAAAGAGAUGUUGCAUUUUGGGAUGUUUGUAUAUGCAGAGGUUACAAACUACUUGAUGUAUGAAUUGAUUUUUGCUGCAUAACAAUUAAUCAAUUAUUUUCAUACUCAUGGGUCUGCAGGUUGACUAUUUUCAUACUCACGGUUCUGCAGGUUUUCUGAUUAAGAGGAGAAGCUCUAUGAUAAGCCAGAGAAGAAAAGCAAGAAUCUAAGAACAAGGUGCUACUUGGUAUCUGCUCUCUGGGUCUAUGUAAUUUGGAGUUCCUAGCAGAGUGCGUAAUGCAUUUAGAGAGAGGUAUUUGUCUUUUCAAAAUAGGAUCCUGGACCUAAUGGGCACUGCUUGAAUUCAAUACCAGAAUAUGAUUCUAAAUAUCAGUAAAGUUUAAGAUCAUAUACAUGCAAUACUUCACAAGGUUUCUGGGUAGGGAUUUUAUGAAGAGAUGACUUAAUUAUUUUUUGAGUAUUCCUGACUCAAUACUCAAUAAAGAUAGUGCUAUGCUGUUUACACGCACGUGCAUAACAAACUAUAAAGGACACAUAGUAAGUAAUAAACUCAGUGUCACAUUCCUCUCACAGCCUGCUGAUGACUAUAAUUAAUAACUGUUUUUUUACCUUGAAAUUUGAUGAGAGCAGAUUUUAAUUGUUCUCACCACACACACAUGCCCACAUGCAUGCACACACACAAAUAACUGUGAGUGAUGCUGAAUGUGUUAACUAAUUGGAUUGUGGUCAUCACUAUACAAUGUAUACUUAUAUCAAAUCAUCAUGUUUUAUACCUCGAACAUACACAUUUUUUGUCAAUUAUAUCUCAUUAAAGCUGGAAAAAUGUAUUUCUGAUAGGUCGAGGAAAAAAAAGCAAUUCUUAAGAAAAAAAAAACAGAGGCAAGUAGAUGAUCACCUCCUGAGGUUAUCAAUGACUGUACAUUGAUGUCUAGUUUUGAUGUUUAUAAUUCUACCAAGUGAAUAUGUUCUGCAUUCUUAGACUUUCACAUCGAGGUUUCUCUAGGGAUUGGAAGGAGCUCCAUAAAGAUUAACUGUGUAACGACAUUCAGCAUCCCCAGAAGCAGCAUCCUACUGCUUAAUAACCUCAUUUCCAAUAGUGUGUUGUCUCCAAGUGCAUGAGCACAUGCACAAAUACAUAACACACAUGAUGGAACCAUAUAAUCUCCAUGUUGCAAGGGACUCUAAAGAGACUUGUAGUUCAGGAAGACUUGCCCAGUAAUAAGUAUUCUUCACAUCAUCUCUAACUCUUCAUAAUAUUGGAUUCUACUAGAAAAAUACACAGGAAGAAAAAUCUAACUAUAUCUUGUGGUUGCCAAUUUCAUUUAUGCUUAUCCCAAUUGUUAAGAACUUUCUGUUUUCAUCGUAUGGAGCAGGAUUUCAUCUCCCCACAGACACCUCUCUGGGGUCCUAAUUAAACCUUCUUGGAUUAAAAUCAGCUAUAACAAUCUCAGUUUUUGUAGUUAUCUCCACACUGCAUUGUGGAUUCUGGUGACAAAACAUUUGUUCAGGGUCUGCAUGCUUUUAACUUACCUGUCUAUCCUUUUAGUUCUCUCCUUAACUAAACUGGAAACACCAAUAGGCCUCCAGGGUAGAAUAUGAAGCCCUAAGCAAUUAACAGAUGUGGAGGGUUAUAGGAACACUGAGAAUUGCUAUGAUUGGUGUGUGGGGAGUCAUAGCCAGGGCUUGUAGCCCAGAGACAGAUGAUUUUGAUUUCCCACCUCUCUUUGAUGCCCUUGUUGACAGAUGAUGUGAAACUAGCUCCCCUGAGUGUAGUUUGUCUGAAUUUACUGGAUUUGCAGGUGUUUGGCUUCAUCCCACUAAUGUAUAAUGAUACAAAUGGUCUCUAAGGCUUACUCAGUGCAGAAAGAUCUCAUGUAUCAUAGAAAACCAGAAUAUUAGAGUGAGAAGUAACUUUAAAGAUGAUCUAGUCUUACCCCGAUUUUAUUUUUUAUUUUAUUUUUUUUCUUUCUUUUAGACUUCAAAUAUCGAGUGUCCUGUUAAUUAUAUUUCCUAGUGGUUCAAUGAUACUUCGUCUUGAUGUCCUCUUGAGUAUUUUCCCCUUUAUCACCCAUCUCUCUCCAUUCUCCCUUUCCCAUGAUUGGGUACUCACUCUAUGUCUUUAAAGAUGUAUGAUUCUUUGAAAAAAUUAUGUCAUUAUUUUAUGCUUACAUGUGUUUUUAAUUUGCAUAAGUACAGGUACUUUAUAUCUCAUUAUUUGUAGUUCUUUUCCCAUCAACAUUAUGUUUUGUGUGUUUGUAUCCUGUGUUGCUUCUGACAGCUGCUUAGUAAAACACUGAACACACUCCCCGUUUUCUGCCUACCCAUCCAUUCAUAGAUGCAUACCUAGAUUGUCAUAAACUCCCCACUUCCAUACAUAAUGCCCCGAUGAACAUUGUUAGCUAUGCAUCCUUAUAGAUCUAUGAACAGUUGUUUCUGGGAUACAUAUUAAAGAGGGGGUUUCUAGGAUUUACUAAUGUUUGAUUUCAUUAAAUACUUCAAAGUGCUUUCUGGAAUGACUGCAAGUCUAUACUUCUAACUGCAGGUGCAUUACCUUUUUCCCAUAUUCAUGCCAAAUGUAGCAUUACUCUCUUCCUAAUUUUUGCCAACAUAAUGGGUAUAAAGUGUAUAAAGUGUUAUAGUUUAAUGUUAGUCUGAGAUUUUUUAUUACUUGUAUUUUAGGCAUCUUAUAUGCUUGGUGGUGUUUUAGGUUUCAUUGUCUGUGAAUUGCUUAUUUGUUUCCUUUACCCAUUUUUUCAACUUAGCUUACGAGGUUUUAAAGUACAUUUGCAAGAAUUCCUUGAAUAUUUUUGACAUUAACACUAUGGUUUUUUUUAAACAUAAUAUAUUUAUCACACUCAGGAAAUUUGACAUUGGGGUUAUGUUGUUACAUGCAUUUCAUAUUCACGUUUCUUAUAACAAUAAGAACAAUAACAAAAUAAUAAAAAUAGUGUCCUUAAUAUUGUUUUUGUUAAACCCACUAUCCAAUUAAAGAUCAUACAUUGCAGUUAUUCUCAUAUCUCUUUCCUUUCCUUUAAAGAUUGUCCCCAAGCACUUAAAAAAAUUUUAUGGGUACAUAGAAGAUGUGUAUAUUUAUGGGGUACAUUAGUUCUUCUUUAAAUGUUUGGUAAAAUUCAGUAGCGAAGCUAUCAGGUCGUGGGCUUUUCUGUGCUGGAAGACUCUUUAUUACUGCAUCUAUCUCAUUACUUGUUAUUAGUCUGUUCGGGUUUUGGAUUUCUCUGCUUAAUUUCAGUGUUCUCUCUUACAAGUUCUAUUCUAGCAGUGAUUGUUCAUAAUUUUGGUUUUUCUUUCUGGAAGAGGCAAGUGUUGGAUGCCUCCUUUUCUAUGGUAGGUUUUUUAUAUUUAGCCUCUAUCAAAUUAAGAAUGUCUUUUUCUAUUCUUAGUUUUCUGAAAAAGUUUAUUUUAAAUUAUGUAUUGGUAUUGAACUUAAUAAAAAAUUUGUUUUUAUGUAUAUAUAUAUAUAUAUAUAAACUCAUGCAAUCUUUGCUAGUUAGCCCAUUAAUGUGA
ensembl:lncRNA novel transcript, antisense to NOV